UACGUAGGGACCGAGCGUUGUCCGGAAUCAUUGGGCGUAAAGAGCGUGUAGGCGGCCACUUAAGUCCUGCGUGAAAUCCUGCGGCUCAACCGCAGGCGGUCGUGGGAAACUGGGUGGCUAGAGUGCGGGAGAGGAGAGUGGAAUUCCUGGUGUGGCGGUGGAAUGCGCAGAUAUCAGGAAGAACACCGGUGGCGAAGGCGGGUCUCUGGGCCGAUACUGACGCUGAGGAGCGAAAGCGUGGGGAGCGAACAGG
rnacentral:rRNA from 1 species